rnacentral:rRNA from 1 species
CCUACGGGCGGCUGCAGUGGGGAAUAUUGGACAAUGGGCGAAAGCCUGAUCCAGCCAUGCCGCGUGUGUGAAGAAGGCCUUCGGGUUGUAAAGCACUUUCAGUGGGGAAGAAAGCCUUGGGGCUAAUACCCUCGAGGAAGGACAUCACCCACAGAAGAAGCACCGGCUAACUCCGUGCCAGCAGCCGCGGUAAUACGGAGGGUGCGAGCGUUAAUCGGAAUUACUGGGCGUAAAGCGCGCGUAGGCGGUCUAAUAAGCCGGUUGUGAAAGCCCCGGGCUCAACCUGGGAACGGCAUCCGGAACUGUCAGGCUAGAGUGCAGGAGAGGAAGGUAGAAUUCCCGGUGUAGCGGUGAAAUGCGUAGAGAUCGGGAGGAAUACCAGUGGCGAAGGCGGCCUUCUGGACUGACACUGACGCUGAGGUGCGAAAGCGUGGGUAGCAAACAGGAUUAGAUACCCGAGUAGUC